rnacentral:rRNA from 1 species
UGAGGAAUAUUGGUCAAUGGACGAGAGUCUGAACCAGCCAAGUAGCGUGCAGGAUGACGGCCCUAUGGGUUGUAAACUGCUUUUGUUUGGGAAUAAUCGACAUUACGUGUAAUGUUUUGCAUGUACCAUUCGAAUAAGGACCGGCUAAUUCCGUGCCAGCAGCCGCGGUAAUACGGAAGGUCCAGGCGUUAUCCGGAUUUAUUGGGUUUAAAGGGAGUGUAGGCGGUUGGUUAAGCGUGUUGUGAAAUGUAGAUGCUCAACAUCUGACUUGCAGCGCGAACUGGCUGACUUGAUGACACACAACGUAGGCGGAAUUCAUGGUGUAGCGGUGAAAUGCUUCGAUAUCAUGAAGAACUCCGAUUGCGAAGGCAGCUUACGGGAGUGUUACUGACGCUUAAGCUCGAAGGUGGGGGUAUCGAACAGG